UACAGAGGUCCCAAGCGUUGUUCGGAUUCACUGGGCGUAAAGGGUGCGUAGGUGGUGAGGUAAGUCGGAUGUGAAAUCUCCGAGCUCAACUCGGAAAUGGCAUUGGAAACUACCUUGCUAGAGGGUUGGAGGGGGGACUGGAAUACUUGGUGUAGCAGUGAAAUGCGUAGAUAUCAAGUGGAACACCAGGUGGCGAAGGCGAGUCCCUGGACAACUCCUGACACUGAGGCACGAAAGCUAGGGGGAGCAAACAGG
rnacentral:rRNA from 1 species